UUGCUUUGGUGGCAUAUAUACUAAAAUUGGAAUGAUAUAGAGAAGGUUAGCAUGACUUUUGUGCAAGGAUGACAUACAAAUUUUGGAAGCAUUCCAUUUAACU